ensembl:lncRNA
CAAGCCUUUAUGAAUUGAGACACUGACUUCUUCAUUGAUUUUUUUUUUUUCAAAUUAAUAUAUUUUUUAAAAGAUUUAAGCAAUGAAAAUUUUGUCAGAACCUCUAGUAAAUUCCGUUAUUUUGUUUAGUUUUCUAACCUUUUUUUUUCUCUCUCCAACAACAACAACAACAAAAAAAUUGUGAUUCUCAAUUUAUCCAGAAUCGUGCAGGUCUAGCUUACAUGUUGUUUAUUACUGCAUAUAAUUCAUUAAAACAGAGGUUUAAUUUCAUAAAGUACAAGUUGAUGUAUAAAAUGCACCUACAUCCUUUGCAUUUUGUGUUUUUCAGUUAAAUAAAAUACUAUUUUUCCCUAUAUAUUUCAUCACUGAGGAUUUCUUUAAAAAGUCAAAAAAUCUCAUCUCAUCUCGUCUUGUCUCGUUCUCGUGAACCUAGUGUAACGGGGGUAUUAAGCCCGUCGUGUAGGGGAAAUGGAUUACGGCUGCCCUGGAAGUUUGGACAACGAAAGGAUCUUGGUCCCCAUUCCCCAACCUUUUAGUCUCGUUACACACUAACGCGUGUAUGUGGUUUCUUACUUUAUUGUGUCGGAACACUACUGAUUGACAAGGGUAGGCUUCAGGUAUGUUAAUGUUACACGUUGGCUUCCUGAAGUGAAAUUGCAUACAUGAGAGUACAGUGUCGUAUGCUCCUCCCUCCCCAGAUCUAAUAAAAUAAGUGAGACUCCCCCACUCCCUGACAGCUCUCAACAGAAAGAUACACUGUAGAUAAGUGUAAAAAGGAAUUAAACUAUUUAUUCUUUCAGAUUUCUUUCUCUUAUGAAUUAUUUUUUCUAUUUAAGAAAUCAAUUAACUGAAAAUAAUACAAAGAGUUUACAGUAAUUGUGCUGUCUUUACAAAUGCACACAAUCACCUUCAACACAUCAAUUGAAAAAAAACCUUUCACUUGUGGAUUAACAAAUCUCUUAUGAAACUUCAAAAUGAGAUCACAUGCAAUUUUUCAAUUGGUAAGCCCACAAAAUCUCAAUCUCACCCUUUUUCAAAUGAUCACCUUCAAACAAUCACAUUUGAAAACAACAAAAUAAAAAUAAACAAUACACAAUUAAAUCUCACUUUAGAAUGAGCACUUAUAUGAAAUGUCCUUUCAAAGGUUUACUCACAGUAACUUAAUUUCCAUAGUCCACUUGAAUUAUCACAGUUCCCUGUUUAUCAGUUCAGUCACUGAGUAAAAAGGAAAAAAAAAAGGAAAAAUACCAGUUCGUAGAACGAUGAAUGAGAGUGCGUUGUCUGGACGUAGGGUGUGUUGAAAUAAACUGAAGAUCACAGUUUAAGUUCA